rnacentral:rRNA from 1 species
GAUGAACGCUGGCGGCGUGCCUAAUACAUGCAAGUCGAGCGAACAGACUAGUAGCUUGCUCCUCUGACGUUAGCGGCGGACGGGUGAGUAACACGUGGAUAACCUACCUAUAAGACUGGGAUAACUUCGGGAAACCGGAGCUAAUACCGGAUAAUAUUUUUAACCGCAUGGUUCAAGAAUGAAAUUCGGUUUUGCUGUAGCUUAUAGCUUGAUCCCCGCCGAAUUAGCUAGUUGGUAAGGUAACGGCCUACCAAGGCAACGAUGCGUAGCCGACCUGAGAGGGUGAUCGCCCACCCUGGAACUGAGACACGGUCCAGACUACUACGGGAGGCAGCAGUAGGCAAUCUUCAGCAAUGGGCGAAAGCCUGACGCAGCAAUGCCGCGUGAGUGAUGAAGGUCUUCGGAUCGUAAAGACCUGUUAUUAGGGAAGAACAAAUGUGUAAGUAACUAUGCACGUCUUGACGGUACCUAAUCAGAAAGCCCCGGCUAACUACGUG